rnacentral:rRNA from 1 species
UACGUAGGGUGCGAGCGUUAAUCGGAAUUACUGGCGUAAAGCGUGCGCAGGCGGCGCGUUAAGACAGGUGUGAAAGCCCCGAGCUUAACUUGGGAAUUGCGCUUGUGACUGGCGUGCUGGAGUGUGGCAGAGGGAGGUGGAAUUCCACGUGUAGCAGUGAAAUGCGUAGAGAUCCGGAAGAACACCAAAGGCGAAGGCAGGGUUCUGGCUCGGUUUCUGACGCUAAGGUGCGAAAGCCAGGGGAGCGAACGGG